rnacentral:lncRNA from 1 species
GGCGCUGAGGGGCACUCAUGAAUAGGGUGGGAUGGGCUAGAACAGAUAGUACACACUUGUGCUUGGGAAGAGUUAAUGAAAUGCCCACCUAUCAUCAGUUGGUCAAUCUUAUGGGACAAUGCAUCUACCUUGCUAGACAGGUCCAUAGAAUGACUUAUUUCACAAAUGGUCCCUUUUCUUUGAGAACUCGGGGGUGCUUGACGAGAACAGGAAGCAUGGUGGAGGGAGUUUUCAUUAAGAUUUUCAAAUAAUUUCCAUGCUUCA